UUCUUUUUGUGGCUUAAUCCUGGUGAAAAUUUGACAUUGUGACUAUACCACAGCAGUUUACGUUUCAAGAUUCAAAUAAUUCUGUUGAUUCAUCAGCUUCUGAUAGUGACCCUAUGAGACAGAGAUUUUCUAUAAAAGCACACUCACGGUUACCCUACCUCGUUAUAUCUGAUGGAUAUAUGGUCACAACCCUUCGAUUUCUUGAUAGCCUAUCUCCAUCAGUACACAUGAGAUCACUUCUACUUGAUUCAACCCAGAGGCUUGAGAAAAUAUAUCAAAGUGUGAUAUUGUCUAAGCCAAAAGGCAAAGGACUGAACUUGCGAUCACUGAAUUCCCUAAGGUCUAGCCUGUUAGAACACCAAGGAAAUGAAAGUUCAGCCGAUUUCACUGUCCCCAAAUUCUUGCAGGCAGAAGAAACAAUAAAUGAAAAUGCAGCAGAUUUUCAGGUACUUAGCA
rnacentral:lncRNA from 1 species